rnacentral:rRNA from 1 species
UACGUAGGGCGCAAGCGUUGUCCGGAAUUAUUGGGCGUAAAGAGCUCGUAGGCGGUCUGUCGCGUCCGUUGUGAAAACUCGAGGCUCAACCUCGGGCUUGCAGUGGAUACGGGCAGACUAGAGUGCGGUAGGGGGAGACUGGAAUUCCUGGUGUAGCGGUGGAAUGCGCAGAUAUCAGAAGGAACACCGAUGGCGAAGGCAGGUCUCUGGGCCGCAACUGACGCUGAGGAGCGAAAGCAUGGGGAGCGAACAGG